rnacentral:pre_miRNA from 1 species
AUUAGUGACUAGUUAAUAUAAACCCGUAGAUCCGAACUUGUGAUAAAAUCUGACGCAAGCUUGUUUCUAGGGGUCCUAUAUUGGCUAGGGUAUCUACAGAU